CGCCACCGCGCCGGGGACGGCGGCGGUUCCGGGGAGCGGAGGGGCUGCAGGCAGGGAUCCCCACUCCUGGUGCUUCUGUAAGGCACGGCAAGGAGAGCCCCCAGGCCUGGGUCUCCAGAACACCACGGAGAGGGCUACCCUGAUGGACACACACACAGCUUCCCUGGCACAGGUGGCAGGUGGCAGCCAGGCUUCCUGCUGGGCUCCUUCAGUGGCCGAGCGAGGGGCUCAGAGUGCCAAGCCGACGCCAACGCAGGAGGCUUUGGAAGAAGAGCCUCGCCAGGGAGAGAGAGAGCUGGGCCCGUUUCAGGGGCCUCCCUGGGCCGUGGGGCUUCUGGAUGGCUGUGGGAAUGAGGAGGCUGGAGACAGGCCUAGAGAUUCCCUGAGGGUACCAGUUGUUUCUG